GACGAACGCUGGCGGCGUGCUUAACACAUGCAAGUCGAACGCAGUGGCGAACGGGUGAGUAAUACGUGGGUAACCUGCCCUCCUUUUUGGGAUAAGCCUUGGAAACGGGGUAUAAUACCGAACAAAGGGGGUUGGGCUGGCGGCCUAUCAGCGUGUUGGUGGGGUGAUGGCCUACCAAGGCGGUGACGGGUGGCAGGCCUGAGAGGCUGCACUGCGACAUUGGGACGGCGAUACGGCCCAGGCGCGUACGGGGGGGAGCAGCGGGGGAUAUGGCAGAAUGGGCGAACGCCUGAUGCAGCGACGCUGCGGGGGGUAUGAGGGCUGUAGGGUUGUAAACUUAUUGCGCUACAGAGCGGGUAGGUGGAGAAGAAGCGCCGGCUAACUACGUGCCAGCAGCCGCGGUAAUUC
rnacentral:rRNA from 1 species